rnacentral:SRP_RNA from 2 species
GGAGGUUGGCGGUGGACGAACUAUUCGCCAACCCGGUCAGAUCCGGAAGGAAGCAGCCGUAACGAAAUUCGUUCGGGUCGCUGCCAACCUCCCAC